GAUGAACGCUGGCGGCGUGCCUAAUACAUGCAAGUCGAGCGAACAGAUAAGGAGCUUGCUCCUUUGACGUUAGCGGCGGACGGGUGAGUAACACGUGGGUAACCUACCUAUAAGACUGGGAUAACUUCGGGAAACCGGAGCUAAUACCGGAUAACAUUUGGAACCGCAUGGUUCUAAAGUGAAAGAUGGUUUUGCUAUCACUUAUAGAUGGACCCGCGCCGUAUUAGCUAGUUGGUAAGGUAACGGCUUACCAAGGCGACGAUACGUAGCCGACCUGAGAGGGUGAUCGGCCACACUGGAACUGAGACACGGUCCAGACUCCUAAGGGAGGCAGCAGUAGGGAAUCUUCCGCAAUGGGCGAAAGCCUGCCGGAGCAACGCCGCGUGAGUGAUGAAGGGUUUCGGCUCGUAAAACUCUGUUAUUAGGGAAGAACAAAUGUGUACGUAACUGUGCACGUCUUGACGGUACCUAAUCAGAAAGCCACGGCUAACUACGUG
rnacentral:rRNA from 1 species